CCCCAGUAACGGCGAGUGAAGCGGCAAGAGCUCAAAUUUGAAAGCUGGCCCCCUCGGGGUCCGCAUUGUAAUUUGCAGAGGAUGCUUCGGGAGUGGCCCCCAUCUAAGUGCUCUGGAACGGGCCGUCAUAGAGGGUGAGAAUCCCGUAUGGGAUGGGGUGUCCGCGACCAUGUGAAGCUCCUUCGACGAGUCGAGUUGUUUGGGAAUGCAGCUCUAAAUGGGUGGUAAAUUUCAUCUAAAGCUAAAUAUUGGCCGGAGACCGAUAGCGCACAAGUAGAGUGAUCGAAAGAUGAAAAGCACUUUGAAAAGAGAGUUAAAAAGCACGUGAAAUUGUUGAAAGGGAAGCGCUUGCGACCAGACUCGCCUACGGGGUUCAGCCGGUAUUCGUACCGGUGUACUUCCCCGUGGGCGGGCCAGCGUCGGUUUGGGCGGCCGGUCAAAGGCCCUCGGAAUGUAACGCCUCUCGGGGCGUCUUAUAGCCGAGGGUGCCAUGCGGCCAGCCCGGACCGAGGAACGCGCUUCGGCACGGACGCUGGCAUAAUGGUCGUAAGCGACCCGUCUUGAAACACGGACCAAGGAGUCUAACAUCUACGCGAGUGUUCGGGUGUCAAACCCGUGCGCGC
rnacentral:rRNA from 1 species